rnacentral:misc_RNA from 1 species
GAUGGUGGCAAUGUCAAAAUCAGAACCUCGACUAGUCCAAAAGAUAAUGCCACUAGAGACCGUCAUAAGGUACAGAAGAAUAAAUGUUGUAUAAGAUCACAACUGAUUACACAUUCAAAUGCAAGGAUAAAUGAACGAAAACAACGAAACCUCGAAGGGAAAAUGUAAAAGUAUUGAGCAGAAAGAAGUUGAUAAUGGCUAUGGCUAUGUCACUAUGUGGCAGUUUGAUCCUCGUCGGCAGCAGGAGCAGCAGUUGCUUCCUGAGGUUUGUGAGAAGUGCCAUUGGCAGUAGCAGCUCCAGGUGCAGGAUCAGACGCUUUUGUUGCUGCAUCUUUUUCAUUUUUAGCAUCCUUUCCAUCCUUACCAUCUUUUGCAUCUUUGACAUCCUUGGCAGGUGGGGGUGGGGGUGGUUUCAUAUGAGGCGGGGGUGUGUGCUUCAAUUUCACGAGAAUUUGCCGCAUUCUUGAAAGAUCGGUAGGUUUCCCA